GCCGUAUGUGGAAAAUAUCCCUUAGAGGGUUAACUGAUUAAACUGUAAAUAUUUUGACUAAAGUGUAGAGUUUGUGAAGUUAGGGCUUGUAGAGUUAGAAGCUUGGCUCUACAAGAGAUCUGAUAACUUUUUGACAGUGCGAUCCUUAUGGUUUCGUCUUGGCAACAUUUUACAUGGAAAUGAUUCUGAUGGGAUACAUAUUAUAAUGUGCACUUUAUCUACUCAUCCAAAAAAUAAACAACCCCAUCGAGUUGGGCUCACUAAAAAUGUUUCGAGAACGAAGUCAUAAACACGCAUAGGACAAGAGGUACAGUCAGAAACAGUAAGUGUAUACAAUAUGGGAACUUUUAAUAUUAGAGUGACGAAGAUGAAGAUACACGAAUUCUGAUUUGCGUGGUAGGCCUCAAGCUUCCAAAAUAGAAUAAUAAGUAACAGUAUUGUAUUUCAUACAUAAGGGACACGCUCCACCCCGCCCCGAAUAAAAUUACCUCACCCUGCGGCAACGUGAUGACGGAAAAUUUGAAAUGCCGGUAUACUGUGCCAAGUUUAGGCUCUUGUCAGUUUCUUGUAAAUGUGCGCCCAAAUAUUUUUAAUUGCCUCACGGAACUUACACACACAUUGAUGCAUUGGCAUGUCGUGCACACAUCGCACAUAACAUAGAUACUUAAAGUCAGUGUAAGUUAAGAAGUAAAUUUUGACAGUCAUGAAUUGACCCUUAUUUUUACGAAGCUAAGACCUAUCAUUUAAACCUUAGUGUCACAUAUAUCUAAGGGUCAAUUCAAGUUUCAAGUACUAUGGCGUGUCCACCGUGUGCCCCCAGACACCACUCAGUCUGUGCUCGCAUAAAACUUUGCUAACCCCACAGCACACGCUCGUGAAUUCUGGUCAGUGUUCCGUUCCCCGUGCGUCAAGGUUGCAAGUUUCCGGAAACACGGAUCUGGUCUUUGUUUAUAUUGGCCAAUCACUUCCACCUCCAUUCAUUGCACAUGUUGAAUAAGUUGUAAACUAUCAUAAUAUAAAUAAUGUGUCAUAAAUUCUAUCUUAUUCGGUAUUUAUCUAAGGGCCACUCGUUGCCUGUAUUAAAGAUUUUCAUUCAUAAAUGGCAAUUUAAACCAGUUAGCAUAGUAGCAGUUAGAAAAGUGGUUAUUAGUUACAGAUAUAAUGCGUCUAUCACUAAUGAAGUCUAAUGGAACUUAUGGAACUUACGUCUUGAUUACCUCUAAUUUGUUAUUAUGUUAUGUUACAUACAUAGGGUCGCGAGUGUUUAAUUUCGACUUAAUUACGUUAUUGUCAAGGUAGAGAAUUAUAUGGAUAAUUUGUCACUAGUCGAGUUCAUUAAUAUUUAUUUAUACAUUUUUCCACCUUAUUGCAAUGGAGAAAGAUGAAGAAAUGUACACAUACGGCCCUAUUCGCACUUCGACGAAAGAAAUACGGAAAAGAUAAGAUAACGAUAAUUUCUGGUUUAAGUAGAUAAGUUCUCUAUUAGAUAUCGUUUUUUAUGUCGUAUAAUUGACAGAUGCAGCACGAUUCGGGCAACCAAUGUCACUUUAACGUUAGAAAUAUCUUAUUGAGAUCACAACAGAAUCGAAAUAAACGUCAAUUUUGACAUAUCGUUUAGUUAUCGAUCUUUUCAAUCUCUUUCCAAGAUCUUAAGCAUCGCUUAAUCAUUCUUCGAAUCGGGCCCAUAUUCAUGAACUCGACACCGUGUUACAUAUAUUAAUGACCUCGACUUUUCCUUGAAAGAUAUUAUUUUAUUUUAUUAUUUUUUAAUUGAUAAGUGAAUGAGUGUUGAGUACCUAACAGAUUGUCAAAAUGUUUGUUAUAUUAAGCGAAAUUUAAAAAGCGAAAAUUGGGUUUACUUUAACUGAUCUGCUGAAAUAAACAACCGUAACGUGGCCAAAGAAACUAUGUAACAAAAAAAUACAACUUUAUCAUGUACUUAGGCAGGUCAUAAGUUCUGUUAUUAAGGUUUGCUGAGGUGUUUCGCAUAGUCAUCGAUACAAAGGAAAAUACAGCCGGCAGUAAAAGUGUAGAAAAAAAAAACCACUUAUACAGGCACUUAUUUCAAAUCGAAAUUUAUUCGUGUUGGAUAUCUUCACUCUUUGUUUCUUGCUUUGUGGCAGUAGCAAUAGAGAUAGAUGAAUCGGAGGGAGUCACUUUCUCCUUGUAAAGGAACUAGGGCGCGAGUAUAUUGUAGUAAGGCUGCCGCGUGUCUCCGUACAUAGGUUAGGUGGUAUCUUGCGGGUAUUGCGGGUUGUGAGAUACGACCCGCAUCCGGGUGCAAUGAAUGCGACGGUUUCAAGGGCGCGCCUCAGGUGAUGACGUACGGCACCCCACCGCCACCCACCGCGGCUCCCGCGGGUGUUCCGGCACCCACCUAAUAAUGCACGUCUGCGCCCUGUCUGCCGCGUCCGCACCCGCUGCAACCUUGAGUGCUCUUGGGGACGCCCGCAAAGAAACACGAAGAAAAAAAGACAAAAGUCCGCAACCAUCUACGCAAAUCUUGGUCACCCUAGUCUCAUACUUCGCGCAACCGCGACGCCUUCUGUACUGUCAUUAAAUCCUUUAGGCUUGAAUCGUCACACGUGUAUUUCAAAAACAUUAACAAACGCUCAUAAUAAGAAAGAGUAUCUAAACAAGAACGUCGAUAUUGAUUGUAGCAGCUGACGAUGACGGCGGACAACAACAGUGCCGCUCGUCAGCGUCACUGCAAUUAGACAUUGCGUAGUGAAUAUCACGUUGAUAGCUCUCUAAUUAUCAUAAUAAUAGUGGAGGCGUACGAUGGGGGUGGCGUCCCCGUCAGCUGAGCGAAAACGAAAGUAAACAGAACUCGGUCAAAGGGUUUGUACUCUACCCGCAAUAUUUAUGUGGGUACGGGGGGGGGUGUACCCACACCCGAUCCGGUCGCCUUCCUUUGAUGGAUUGGUUGGCGACUGGCGCGGAUUAUUCCACUGAAAUUCGCUUCAACCCCACAGCCAGGCAAUAGCCGCGAUUUCCUGUUUUGCUCUUCCAGACAAACUUUACCCCCGAAAUUAUAAUUCUGCGAAAGUGGUCGUUCAUAUUUUGUUUUGCUUGCGACCCGUCUUUAACAGAUUUUUUUAUGAAUUUGUUGACAGGAAUCGUUGUUUAACAAUGUAUUUCUUAGAGAAAAAGAUGUACCUAUCCAUUAUGACAUA